rnacentral:tRNA from 1 species
GCCGGGAUGGCGGAAUGGCAGACGCAGCGGACUUAAAAUCCGCCGCCGCAAGGCUUGUGGGUUCGAGUCCCUCUCCCGGCA